rnacentral:lncRNA from 1 species
AUGUGUAUGUGUAUGUGUGUGUGUGUGUGUGUUAUGGAAACAUCAGAUAUAGUAAAUAUUUUCUAAAGAUUGCUAAGAUUUUUAUCCGGUCGACAGGGUGGAUUUUUAUUUUGUCAAACUUUCUUGAUGAACAAUUGAUGAUGGAAACUGUCUUUUUUGAAUAAAUUAUGAUUGCGGAAUACUUUUGCAGGUAUGUGGGGCACAUCAUGUCAUCACUUAACUAUAAACUCCACUCCACAUUUAAUUAUAAAUGCCUACUUCCUGCAAAAUAUUUAUUUGCAGGACAAGGAUUGUCCUGACUUUCAAGAAUGCCUGAAUUGCUUCACCUUGUUUUUCUGGUUGGAUGCCAAAUUUCACCAUCCAAUUAUUUCAGAUGUCCAGUACUGCAAGUUGCACCAUGGCAUGGACCUUGGAGAUAUGUUGGUACAUGACAAUUAUUAGAAUGUGGCAAACAUUAGUCAAUUAUUGCAUUCUAUCCAUGUUGGCUUUUGCGGGCUCAUUGAGACAUGAAACAGAUACAGGCAUAAAGGCUGUCGCCAAUUUAUUAAUGCGCAAUUUGUCUAAAUGGGUAAUGGAAACACUUCAACCACUACAUUUGUAUUAGACAAUGUAUGUUUUUGCAAAACAGUGUUUUUUUAGGUUUGACAUCAUUAUGCCCAGCUGUUUUUAUCGACACAAGAUAGUUAUUAAAUGGUAACGCACCCUAGCAGGCACUUGUCACAUCUAUUUUCUAUGCAAACUUUCUAAACGUCAACAAAAAAAUCACUGGACAAGUUCAUGGAAACAUAGCUACUGAGAAUGAAAAGCAUAGUUAACAUGAAAGGUGUUUCUCACCUUGAAUCAACUUAGAAGUGGGUGUGUGUUUGUCUGCGUGCAUGCGUGGGUCUGUGCUUGCAUGUGUGUUUGUUGUGAUAAUCCCUCAUAGAGAAUUCCAGAGAAAGACUUAUCAAGAGCACUUUUAAUUGUGGUAAUUGUGAAAUCAAUUAGUUACACUGAUCGGUUUGAUCAAUAACCAUUUAGUAGACAUUUUUAGGCUGGGUAUCAUGCCUGAUCACUAUAUCCUCUUUCUCUACCUGCCUUUCGCCUUUCCUUCCUCAUCGGCUGCUCGGUUGGUUUGGGUGAGUGGUACUCUACUAGUCAGCCUGCUUCUCUGAAGGACAUCUGAACACUUUGAAAGUAUUCCGACACACAGCGGAUCCUUUGAAGUUUGAAAGAAUGCAGGAUCGCAAAUUACCCAAGAGACAUGGCUGAUAGUGUUUGAAGCCCUCCGUUGAUAGCGAUGCACCCCCUUCCCUCUCUGUCUUUCCUUCGCCCCCUCUCUCCAUUCACAACAAGUUUAGCAAAUAAACCCAUGCAUAAAUGCGCACACAAGCUACAUUCAAUCAGUGUACCAAGUAGGACCCUAGGGGAAUGGACGUAGUGGUGUGCCAUAGUAGCCCUCCAAUCAGCAUUACAACAGUAAACCCACUGACAGUGAUGGGCCAGAGAAUACUGGGGGAAACUGAGAAUUCUGAUCCAUUGAACAGCCUGUAGCAUGGGGAGGGAUGGGUAGGAGUCUCUCUCUGAAGUAUUGUACGAUAAAAUGCCCAUUACGGCAUUCUCACAACCCAGUACUACUAUUCAUUCAAUUUGCCCUUGCUUCCUCUAUAGAGAUGUUGACACCUCUUCUUGAAGUAAUCUCUGAUAGAACAUUGGAUAGGUGAAUUCAAGUGUUUCUUUAACCUAUGCAGUUAUGGCAGAUCAAGGAUCACUUCUAAGAAGGGAAAGAGGGUGGAAGGGAGGGAGGAUGAAGGAAGGAAGAAAUUAAGGAUGGAAGGAAGGAAGGCAGGAAGGAAGGAAGGAAAUAAGUACAAAAGGAAAUAUGAAAGGAAAGACGGAAGGAAGAAAGGAAGGAAUGAAUGAAAUGAAAUAAGGAAGGAAGGAGGGAAAUAAGUGCAAAAGGAAAUAUGAAAGGAAAGACGGCGGAAGAAAGGAAGGAAUGAAUUAAAUUAAAUAAGGAAGGGAGGAAAGAAGUUAAGAAUGACAGAAGAUAGGAAGGAAGAAAGGUAUGCAACUACAUUUUCCCCAUGUGUGGAAAAUUAAGAUUGUUGUCUAUUGGUCAUUUGUCAUAUCCAUCGACGUCUGAGUCCCAAGGACACCUGUGAUCAUCGAUGUUCCGAUCCAUGUUGUGAACCUUGGCCUUUAAUGUACAGUUUACAGUCCUGCUUUGAUUGUUGUCACUGUACACUGUUGGAGCGUAUAUUACUGUACCACAGAUUCAUUCGAAAUAAAGACUAUGGAGGCAAAAUGCUGACAAAAAAAAGUUUCAGCACAGUUUCAGUUUCGCAGUCAAAAUACUGUCCAUGUUCUUGUAGAUGAUGCAACCAC